UGUGUCUUAUUUUAAAUUAGAAUAGAUAUUUUUGGUAUAUCAGGUUUGAUACAA
rnacentral:tRNA from 1 species